rnacentral:lncRNA from 12 species
AUGAUUCAUAUCCCCAGAUAUUCUCUGGCAUUCUCACUAUAUAGUUUCCUUUUUUUUUUUUUUUUUUUUUGUACUGUAUUGCUUUUUUUUUUUUUUUUCCCCCAGAAAGAGAAAAUCUUACUGGAGAAAACCAUGCCAAGCCUGAGAACAUUGAGUACCCAAGGCCAAGCUCAACAAGGGCAGAGAACUUUCCGGCAAGAAAUUAUCCCAUCUGUAACAAGGCCAGUCUCAUGGUCUACAGCUCACAAUUGGCAAGAAGAUAGCCUUGAUAAAAUCCUUGUUCUGGAGUUUGUUCAAAGUUCAUGGGAACAGCAUCACAAUGUAUUAUGCUUGCCAAAAUUGCUUACGUGGAAUUGAAUCACAAGGAAACAAUCAGAUUAACUCAGUAUAUGGUAUGUUCUACAAGACAGCUACCCUGGAUUCUUCAAAAAACUUGAAAAACAGCAAAACAAAAAGGUCCUGCAGGGCUGGAGGUAUGUAAAUUUAGAUUAAAAAGACUAAAUAUACAUGAUAACCGAAUGCAAUGUGUGAACCUUGAAUGAAUAUGGGGAGCCCUCCCUCUCAAAAAAAAAAAAGAAAAGAAAAAAGCUUAACUAUAAAACAUAUUAUGGGACAAUUAGGGAUAUUUGAUUGUGGACUAUGAAUUAUAUAUUAUUGAAUUUAUGAUAAAUUUCUUGGGUAUGACAAUGGUACUAUGGCUAUGUAGGAGAAUAUUCAUUUUUUUAGGCAAUACAGUGUAAAUAUUUAGGGGUGAGGUAUUAUCAUUUCUGCAGCUUCCUUUC